rnacentral:rRNA from 1 species
AUUGAACGCUGGCGGCAGGCCUAACACAUGCAAGUCGAACGAGUGGCGGACGGGUGAGUAAUGUCUGGGAAACUGCCCGAUGGAGGGGGAUAACUACUGGAAACGGUAGCUAAUACCGCAUACCAUCGGAUGUGCCCCGAUGGGAUUGGCUAGUAGGUUGGGUAAUGGCUCACCUAGGCGACGCUCCCUAGCUGGUCUGCGAGGAUGACCAGCCAAACUGGAACUGAGACACGUUCCAAACUCCUACGGGAGGCAGCAGUGGGGAAUAUUGCACUAUGGGCGCAAGCCUGAUGCAGCCAUGCCGCGUGUAUGAAGAAGGCCUUCGGGUUGUAAAGUACUUUCAGCGGGGAGGCGUUACCCGCAGAAGAAGCACCGGCUAACUCCGUGCCAGCAGCCGCGGUAAUAC